UACGGGGGGGGCAAGCGUUGUUCGGAAUUACUGGGCGUAAAGGGCUCGUAGGCGGCCAACUAAGUCAGACGUGAAAUCCCUCGGCUUAACCGGGGAACUGCGUCUGAUACUGGCGAGCUUGAGUGCAGGAGAGGAACGCGGAAUUCCAGGUGUAGCGGUGAAAUGCGUAGAUAUCUGGAGGAACACCGGUGGCGAAGGCGGCGUUCUGGACUGUAACUGACACUGAGAAGCGAAAGCCAGGGUAGCAAACGGG
rnacentral:rRNA from 1 species